GCUGGAGGUCGCUGUCUUUUCUGGGAAUUGGUCGAGCGCCACAGAAAGGGAAGUUGGUGAUGACAGAAGGCAAGAGAGAACCAUCAGAAGAACUGCAGCCGUGGGUCCGUCCUCUGUGUCAGGGUACUGUUUUAGGUACUGAGGACAUAGCAGAGAACAGAACAGGCUCAAGGAGAAGAGGAAAGUUCAGAAACAUAAAAAGAAAUAAAGAAAUAUUCAGAAGCAUCUGAAUUUUUGACCCUCUGAUCACCAGAAAAGGAAAAAGGGAAGUACUAUUACAUUUGCUACUGAUACUAUAAAACUGCCCUUGCCUAAUUUCAUUUCAGCAAGCCUUUCCUGUGAACCGGUAAUGUGCCAGGCACCAUGUGCAGGGGCACUGGCCCAAAAGUGAAGAAGAUGAGGUUUCUCUCCUUGAGAAGUGCAGUGUGGGAGACAGAAAGGAGGACCCAGAUGAUCCUGACUUGCCAUAGUGACUGUAGAGCUGAGAAGUCUCUGGAUCAAGCCACGUGGUCUGAGAACUUGUCCACACAGCUGAAAUUAUCCUGUCAGUAUCAUCCAGACAAUUUUGAGGACUCACUGUCACUCACUUAUUCUUUCAAGAAAGUUAUCUCUCCCUGGCACUCUGCUAGGUGCUAGAGAUACAAUGAAUGCACACAUGAUGGUGGCAGCUGGAGGAGUCGUCCUUGACCAUGAGAUGGAAGUCAUAUGCUGAGGAUGCCAAAGCAACCAGAUAGAGGGAAACUGGAUCCCCACCAGUGUGGAACAGCUGUAGCAGCCCCAGACUGUUAAACUCAGACUAUAUGUGACAAGUUGAUCAAUUUCUAACCUAUUUAAACUACAUUUUUUUUGGUCUUUAUCAUAGAAGGUACACCUGUAUUCUUAGUAACUGUUCCAGACUGAAUGUUUGUGUCCCCUCAAAGUUCAUAUGGUGAAAUCCUAAUACCCAGUGGUAUUAGGAGGUGGGACCUUUGGGAGGUGAUGAGGUCAUGAGGGUGGCGCUCUCAUGAAUGGGAUUAGUGUCUUUAUAAAAGAGGCUCCAGAGAGCUCUCUUGCCCCUUCUAUCAUGUGAGGACCCAGUGAGAAGACAGUCAUCUUUGAACUAAGAAGGGGGCUAUCACCAGACACUGAAUCUGCCAGCACCUUGAUCUUGGACUUUCCAGCCUCCAGAACUGUGAGA